rnacentral:rRNA from 1 species
CAAUGGGCGAAAGCCUGACCCAGCAACGCCGCGUGUGUGAUGAAGGCCUUCGGGUCGUAAAGCACUUUUCUGGGAGAUGAGAAAGGACAGUAUCCCAGGAAUAAGUCUCGGCUAACUACGUGCCAGCAGCCGCGGUAAAACGUAGGAGGCGAGCGUUAUCCGGAUUCACUGGGCGUAAAGCGCGUGCAGGUGGCGCGGUAAGUUGGGCGUGAAAUCUCCCGGCUCAAACUGGGAAGAGGUCGUCCAAUACUACCGUGCUUGAGAGCAGAAGAGGAAGAUGGAAAUUCCCGGUGUAGUGGUGAAAUGCGUAGAUAUCGGGAGGAACACCAGUGGCGAAGGCGAUCUUCUGGUCUGUUUCUGACACUCAGACGCGACAGCUAGGGUAGUAAACGGGAUUAGAGACCCCGGUAAUCCUAGCCGUAAACGAUGUGAACUUGGCGUUGGUGGGUUAAACUCCAUCAGUGCCGUAGCAAACGCGAUAAGUUCACCGCCUGGGGACUACGGCCGCAAGGUUA